AUCAUAUAUAGUAUGAUUCCAUUUAUAUGAAAUUCCAGAAUAGGUAAAUACAUAAGACAGAAAGUAGAUUAGUGGAUUCCUUGGGCUAGAGGAGAUGGUGAUGAAGAGGGGGGUAUAGGGAUUUUCUGGGAGGGUAGUGAAAAAAUUCUAAAGUCAAAUGUUAUGAUCGAUGCCCAACAACGUGAAUAUAUUAGCAGCCAUUGAAUUGGUAUACUUUAAAUGGGUGAAUUUGUGUAUUAGGUAAAUUAUUUAUCAAUAAAGCUGUUUAAAAAGUGUUGUACACACAGUAAGCAUACAAUACCUUCUUAUUCAUGAAUUAGUCAAGAAACCAAGUGGAUUGAACAAAUUAUACCUCUGCACUUUAGGUGUAUUUAGUGGUAGGUAAAGAAGAAAAGCAAAUAUAUCCAAUUGUUUCCAGUUUCCUUAAAGGGGGAAAAAAACAAAAUUUACUGACAAGCUAUUUGGGUGCUAAUAUUUUAUUUCUUUUUCUCCUAUGAAUUAAUCUCAAGUGGAUCUCUGCUAGCUUACUAAUGCUCACUGUCCACCACCUCAUGCAGUCAGAAAGAUGCCAUCUGUUCUCUUCAGCUGCCAAAGUGUCACAGGUUACCCACAGUAUAUCCCAAGAAUGUACACAUUCUGCACCAAUUAUGGAGGACAACAGUAUGUGAUUGAUGCUCUGAUUGGCUAGCUCUGGACCACAUGACCAACUCUGCUCUGGUGGUAGAGCUAAUUCCACUUAAACCACAUCAACAGAGAAUGGGGAACAAUGGCAAAAGCCUUUGAUGAAGCAUUUUCCUCUGAGACAACAGCGGCAAUACCUGAAGACCAUGAAGCAUCUGCUGAGUCCUUUUGUUCCAUCUUCUUUCUUCCUGAUCUUGAUCGCCCCCUGAUGCAUCUUCAUCCUGAAUAAAAAUGACCCCCAAAAAGCUGACAAAACAAGUCCAAUGAAAAAUGAAGUAUUUCUACAUCUCCUAAAAGCUCCUAAAUUACCUUGAGAUUGUGUAUUUUGAACUAAUAGAAAACUGUACUUAAUGCUGCUGAGCAAUCACUUAGCAUUUAGAGUACAAACUGAAGAGUCUGUUUUUCUUAAAUUACAAGGCAAAGUCCUCUAUGUGCAAGCAAACAUUUGGCUGAAAGUAUGCUUCUAUAUUGCGCUAUAAGGAUGCUAUCUACACACACUAUGUGGUCUGUGGACUGCUGCUGAUCAUGGAGGUUUUGGUUACUGGCCCCUCUUAAAGAACUUCAGGAUAUAAAUCAACUGUACCACUAAAUAUACUGUUUAUUUCAACUAAAUAUACAUACAUAAAUAUUGCAACAUGAUUUUCUAGAUGACUAAUGUUCUGGCAGACUCUUAAUCUCAUUGUGGAGCAGUACCAAAGAGCCUGCAGACUACCUAAGUUGAUUUAUAUGGUGUUUUAAAAUGAAUGGGCUAUACUCCUUAUUAUAUAUUUCACUUGAGCAACCUAGUUCUCAGCCACAUGCUGCCUAAAUGACUUUUUAAAGUCCAAGGUGGGUGCAAGGCAGCAGUUGUGAUGUUCCCAGGCUAUGGUGAAACUAUAUACCAGCCAUAACAGAAACCACAACUAUUUUAAUACUCAUUCACAACUAAGUCUGAGAUAAUGGCACAUCCUCACACAUAGGUAGAAGUGGCUCUGAAACUAAUUUUGGCUUUAAAAUAAGAUAUUCAUAUUAAAGAUAAGCACUAUUAUUAGAAUUAAGAACAGAUGCUACUGAAAAUUUAUCCAAUCCAUAACCUUUUUUGGUCUUGAAGAAAUUUAAACAGCUUCAAUGCUACCUAAAGGACACCUUAUUUUAAAUUUAAAGGUUUAAGUAACAUAUCCGAUAGAGUAUCAAACAGAAGAAUAAAUUCUAAGUCUUAAACAACAACCUCAAUGAUCCAGAAAUUAGGAAGAAAAAGAAGAAAAAAGACCUUCAACAGUGUAAACAUGCCCCAGGAAAAAGAAAUUGAUUCCUAAAACACCUCUUACUUUGUAAAAAGAAAAAGUCAUUUAAGCCUUCACUCAGUCUAAGUGUUUUAGCAAAGUUAUGCUUUACCCUGGUCCAAGUAAAAGAAAAACAAAAACAAAACCCAGACAAGUGGAAAACAUAUGGUUAUCUGAUUUCCAGGCCACCACAGAUACAGAAAAGGUUAUAUCAGAAGCAGACAAUAACAGCAGUAAGAAUCGUCCACUGACCACAAGAUAGUAAAAGCAGCUACACGCAAUUUAGAAGCCAAGCAAGAAAUCAGUGUAAGGACAAUUCCAUGUCCUUCAAAACCCCACAAGAGAGCCAAUGAGUUACAGCGAAGCAUAAAAUUUGAUGUUCCUAAUGAUGAUCAAUACCACGAAGAAUAUGGUAAAAUUUUGCUUAUAUUCUAACAUUUUUAAAUAACUCUGAUGCUCAGCAUCAAUUAAGUUAGCCCCAAUAUGAAAAAUAAAGCUGGUUGGAGGUUUUUGCUAAA